GCGGGCCCUACAACUUGCAAGUUCGAACGGUAGCACAGAGAGCUUGCUCUCGGGUGACGAGUGGCGGACGGGUGAGUAAUGUCUGGGAAACUGCCUGAUGGAGGGGGAUAACUACUGGAAACGGUAGCUAAUACCGCAUAACGUCGCAAGACCAAAGUGGGGGACCUUCGGGCCUCUUGCCAUCGGAUGUGCCCAUAUGGGAUUAGCUUGUAUGUGAGGGAACGGCUCACCUAGGCGACGAUCCCUAGCUGGUCUGAGAGGAUGACCAGCCACACUGGAACUGAGACACGGUCCAUACUCCUACGGGAGGCAGCAGUGGGGAAUAUGCACAAUGG
rnacentral:rRNA from 1 species